rnacentral:rRNA from 1 species
UUACCAGCUCGGUGGAUUUAUUUAACGGCUGCGGUAUUAUAACUGUACUAAGGUAGCAUAAUAAUUUGCUCUAUAAAUUGGGGCUAGAAUGAAUGGUUUGACGAGAAUUUAACUGUCUCUAUUUUAUUUAUUAGAAAUUAAUUUUUAUAGUGAAAAAGCUUUAAUUAUUUAAAGGGACGAAAAGACCCUAUUGAGCUUUUGUUAUUAUAUAGAUAUAUAUAUAUAUAUAUAUGAUUUAUUUGUAAAUAACUUUGGUUGGGGUGAUCAAGGAAUAAAAAUUAAUUUAAAGUGUUUUAUUAACUUCCUUAAUUUUAAAUUUAGUUGAAGAAUAAACCAAGUUUUUUGCUUAGAAGAUAAGUUACCAUAGGGAUAACAGCGUAAUUUUUUUUGAGAGUUCAUAUUG